AACGAACGCUGGCGGCAGGCUUAACACAUGCAAGUCGAGCGCACCUUUUAGGUGAGCGGCAGACGGGUGAGUAAUGCAUGGGAAUCUACCUAUCACUACGGAAUAACACAGAGAAAUUUGUGCUAAUACCGUAUACGUCCGAGAGGAGAAAGAUUUAUCGGUGAUAGAUGAGCCCAUGUUGGAUUAGCUAGUUGGUGAGGUAAUGGCUCACCAAGGCGACGAUCCAUAGCUGGUCUGAGAGGAUGAUCAGCCACACUGGGACUGAGACACGGCCCAGACUCCUACGGGAGGCAGCAGUGGGGAAUAUUGGACAAUGGGCGCAAGCCUGAUCCAGCCAUGCCGCGUGAGUGAUGAAGGCCUUAGGGUUGUAAAGCUCUUUCGCCGGUGAAGAUAAUGACGGUAGCCGGAAAAGAAGCCCCGGCUAACUUCGUGCCAGCCGCCGCAGUAAAAC
rnacentral:rRNA from 1 species